UACCGACAGUCCAAGUCGCAGCCAGCAUUAUUGGGUCUAAAACAUCCGUAGCUUGCUUAAUAAGUCUCUUGUGAAAUUCCAUAUCUCAAGUAUGGAGCGUGCAAGAGAUACUGUUCUGCUAGAGACCGGUAGAUGUAAGGAGUACACCUAAGGUAGUAGUAAAAUACGUUAAUCUUAGGCGGACUAACAAUUUAGCGAAGGCACCUUACAAGGACGGAUCUGACAGUGAGGGAUGAAGGCUAGGGGCGCAAAA
rnacentral:rRNA from 1 species